CUUCACCGACCCCAGCCACACCGGCCGCUCGCGGCCCUGCCCGUAGGUCGCCAGCAACGCCUGCGCCUC
rnacentral:antisense_RNA from 1 species